GAUGAACGCUGGCGGCGUGCCUAAUACAUGCAAGUCGAGCGAACGGACGAGGAGCUUGCUCCUCUGACGUUAGCGGCGGACGGGUGAGUAACACGUGGAUAACCUACCUAUAAGACUGGGAUAACUUCGGGAAACCGGAGCUAAUACCGGAUAAUAUAUUGAACCGCAUGGUUCAAUAGUGAAAGACGGUUUUGCUGUCACUUAUAGAUGGAUCCGCGCCGCAUUAGCUAGUUGGUAAGGUAACGGCUUACCAAGGCGACGAUGCGUAGCCGACCUGAGAGGGUGAUCGGCCACACUGGAACUGAGACACGGUCCAGACUCCUACGGGAGGCAGCAGUAGGGAAUCUUCCGCAAUGGGCGAAAGCCUGACGGAGCAACGCCGCGUGAGUGAUGAAGGUCUUCGGAUCGUAAAACUCUGUUAUUAGGGAAGAACAAAUGUGUAAGUAACUAUGCACGUCUUGACGGUACCUAAUCAGAAGGCCACGGCUAACUACGUG
rnacentral:rRNA from 1 species